AUCACUUCUUGGCCUUUUGGCUAAGAUCAAGUGUAGAAAUAUAUAGACUUUAAAAAAUCUUCUGUGUGAUCUAUUGUGGAAAGCUUUGGGCAGGCUUUUUACACUCCAGUUUUUAAGAAGCCCAAUGAUA
ensembl:snRNA U2 U2 spliceosomal RNA